CCCUACGGGUUGUAAACUGCUUUUGUGCCAGAAUAAACCUCGGUAUGUAUACCGAGCUGAAUGUAUGGUAAGAAUAAGGAUCGGCUAACUCCGUGC
rnacentral:rRNA from 1 species